rnacentral:antisense_RNA from 2 species
UUUUAUGGUGGCCAUGCGUAGGGCGUCUUCGGAUGCGCCGGGUUGUCAGGUGACCGGUCUACCAACCUCCGUAUGGCCAUCACCCAU